CACGUGGGUGAUCUGCCCUGCACUUCGGGAUAAGCCCGGGAAACUGGGUCUAAUACCGGAUAGUACUGCGCGGUGCAUGCCGUGUGGUGGAAAGAUUUAUCGGUGCAGGAUGGGCCCGCGGCCUAUCAGCUUGUUGGUGGGGUAAUGGCCUACCAAGGCGACGACGGGUAGCCGGCCUGAGAGGGCGACCGGCCACACUGGGACUGAGACACGGCCCAGACUCCUACGGGAGGCAGCAGUGGGGAAUUUUCCGCAAUGGGCGAAAGCCUGACGGAGCAAUACCGCGUGAGGGAUGACGGC
rnacentral:rRNA from 1 species